rnacentral:rRNA from 1 species
GAUGAACGCUGGCGGCGUGCCUAAUACAUGCAAGUCGAGCGAACAGACGAGGAGCUUGCUCCUUUGACGUUAGCGGCGGACGGGUGAGUAACACGUGGGUAACCUACCUAUAAGACUGGGAUAACUUCGGGAAACCGGAGCUAAUACCGGAUAAUAUUUCGAACCGCAUGGUUCGAUAGUGAAAGAUGGCUUUGCUAUCACUUAUAGAUGGACCUGCGCCGUAUUAGCUAGUUGGUAAGGUAACGGCUUACCAAGGCAACGAUACGUAGCCGACCUGAGAGGGUGAUCGGCCACACUGGAACUGAGACACGGUCCAGACUCCUACGGGAGGCAGCAGUAGGGAAUCUUCCGCAAUGGGCGAAAGCCUGACGGAGCAACGCCGCGUGAGUGAUGAAGGUCUUCGGAUCGUAAAACUCUGUUAUUAGGGAAGAACAAACGUGUAAGUAACUGUGCACGUCUUGACGGUACCUAAUCAGAAAGCCACGGCUAACUACGUGCCAGCAGCCGCGGUAAUACGUAGGUGGCAAGCGUUAUCCGGAAUUAUUGGGCGUAAAGCGCGCGUAGGCGGUUUUUUAAGUCUGAUGUGAAAGCCCACGGCUCAACCGUGGAGGGUCAUUGGAAACUGGAAAACUUGAGUGCAGAAGAGGAAAGUGGAAUUCCACGUGUAGCGGUGAAAUGCGCAGAGAUAUGGAGGAACACCAGUGGCGAAGGCGACUUUCUGGUCUGUAACUGACGCUGAUGUGCGAAAGCGUGGGGAUCAAACAGGAUUAGAUACCCUGGUAGUCCACGCCGUAAACGAUGAGUGCUAAGUGUUAGGGGGUUUCCGCCCCUUAGUGCUGCAGCUAACGCAUUAAGCACUCCGCCUGGGGAGUACGACCGCAAGGUUGAAACUCAAAGGAAUUGACGGGGACCCGCACAAGCGGUGGAGCACGUGGUUUAAUUCGAAGCAACGCGAAGAACCUUACCAAAUCUUGACAUCCUUUGACCCUUCUAGAGAUAGAAGUUUCCCCUUCGGGGGACAAAGUGACAGGUGGUGCAUGGUUGUCGUCAGCUCGUGUCGUGAGAUGUUGGGUUAAGUCCCGCAACGAGCGCAACCCUUAAGCUUAGUUGCCAUCAUUAAGUUAGGCACUCUAAGUUGACUGCCGGUGACAAACCGGAGGAAGGUGGGGAUGACGUCAAAUCAUCAUGCCCCUUAUGAUUUGGGCUACACACGUGCUACAAUGGACAAUACAAAGGGCAGCGAAACCGCGAGGUCAAGCAAAUCCCAUAAAGUUGUUCUCAGUUCGGAUUGUAGUCUGCAACUCGACUACAUGAAGCUGGAAUCGCUAGUAAUCGUAGAUCAGCAUGCUACGGUGAAUACGUUCCCGGGUCU